rnacentral:lncRNA from 1 species
CAGAGAUUCUACAAUUAGAAACAUGGAACGAUAUUGUGCUGAAAUACAUUGUGAAAGAAGCCUGUAUUUUUCAUGCCAAAUACAUUACGAUAUUGUACAUUCACUCUUUUUUUCUUCUGCAACUUUUUCGUUUAGCCUUUGUAUCUUGUUUAAGGUUAUUCAAUCCAAGAGUUACGAAAAAAAAAAAACAGAACCGUAGGGUGAGAAAAAGAUAGGCGCAGAAAAUCAAUUUCCUAUGUGAAUAGGAUAUUGAGCAUGAGAACAUUUUCUUACAACAGAAACCUAUUAAGUCUCACAAUAUAAGUCUGGUAAAAGAUAUAACUCUCCAUAUAUGUAGUCUGCUAAAAGAUUUAACUCUCCAUAUGUAUGUGUUCAUAUAUAUACCAGUACUAUACAUGAGUAAUUGAACGUUAACCAAUUUUAGCAAGUUAAUAUGGCACUAGCUAACCACCCAUUAGCUAGAUAGCAAACCCUACAAAGGUCAUUUCCUAAUUAGAACUAUUCAUUUGUUCGGCCUCAAUCAAGCACCAACCCUAUCAUAUCGAACGUCAUGUCAACCACUACACCGCGUAUAUCCAUAUAAACAUAUACAUAUAUGGUUCUCAGCUUUCGUUCAAAUUUUGUUAUUAGAAGCCUAUUAGAUACGACUUAACGUUGUUGGUUAGUCAAAUCUGGCCACCCUAAAUACCAGCAAAACUAAAUUUUUCUAUCAAAAUGCUGCUGUGCUACCUAAAGCCAAAGAUCAAAACAAUGGAACGACCAUGAAAUAUAUUUGAUGUGAUUUGCUUUGAAAAAAAAUAGGACUACCACUUUAAUCCUUUGAAUUAUUAGCGUAACUCAGCUCCAAAAAGCUUAAUUAUUAUAGAGUGUUAUAAAAUCGACGUGGGUGCAAUAGAAUAAAUGAAACAAGACACAAAAUUUAUGAGGUUUCUCUAAAGUCAGUGU